rnacentral:lncRNA from 1 species
CACAAGAUUUUAAUAAGAACAGAAGUUUUUAUUUUAUGUUAACAGACCUUUGCACAGAUAUAUCCCACCAAGCAUACACCUUAGCUUUAUCUCAAGAGUGUUAAACUACCAUCAGCUAGCUUAGAAUUACCAUUCUCUAGUCUAACAAUUCCAACUGCAAAAUUUAUGCCAUUCCCCUGUUUAUCCACCGCAAGUGACAGCAGGAAGGAAAGGGUUGCUAAUACGUAAAUACUUAGUGCCUACUCCAGUAUUGUUCUUCUAUGUAGCACACAUGAAGACAAUUACUUUUCAAAAAUAUUAGUCUUUUCCACCCAUCUACACAUCAAGACUGACAUACACAUUGCUAGUCUGCAGGGAUAAUAAUAUAAAUUUUUUUAACACCAAAAAAAUCUAGCAUAAGGUUUUUAUAAAAGAUAAUUAAGCGAGCUAAUAUAGUAAUAAGUGGAAUACACAAUAAGAAUAUGUACUAAAAUAUCUGCUUUGUGCAAUGCAGAACUGGUGUUUUAGGAGAUUAACAAUUAUGAUCGCCAGUCCUCUUCUGAUUCUAUAAUACUCCACACAAUCUUUUUUAAAUUACUUUAUUAACCUUUCCUCCUAGCACAGAAGUGCCCGAUUAUAGAUAAUAUUUCAAAAUCAUCUGAGGUGUAAGUGUGUUUGAUUUUCUCGGUAAUUAUUUGUCUACCUUAUUACAUUGGCCAAGCACACAAGCUCCUUGACCAGCUUUAUUUCAAGUCCAGUUAAGAAUAGGGUCAUAUCAUUUUGUGGAUCACUCCCUUUGGGCUCCGACGUACAUGAAAUUUUCAUAUUGGAGAUGGGGACAGUGCAUGGAAACACAGUACAUUUUAAACAUGGAGAAAUCACUCACUGCCCUGUCAUUAAAGGUUUCAGAUCCUGGACUUAAUGGAAAGAAUGCUAUUCACAAGUGAAAGGAAUUUUUAUUCCCUGAAUGACUAGGAGGCAGAACAUGGAAGUUGGAGCAUGCAAAUGUCUCUUGAUGAAGUCUAAAAGCUUAUCAUUCCAUCCCACUAGUGGCCUUACCCGGGGUCUUUAUAAUCUGUUCCUUGUCAUUCAUACCACUCAGGACAACACUUCUAUUUUGAUCUGAAUCUUGAAUGCGUUUCCAAGCAUGUCUUUUGAUUCAUUCAAGGUGGAAGGAAAUGGGGAUGGGGCAGCCACAAGGGAAGAUCACAAAGCUUGUCCUUUUCUCAGGGGUCUGGAGAAAGAGUUACCUCUGAAAAUCACACUGGGUCUGUCAGAGAGAAAGUUUGCCUCUUCCAACUUUCCAGCUCAGGGCAAAUGAAAUGGAUACUCACCUGUUCUGAAACAUGAAAAUGCAUUGAGAUGAAACAGGGUGCAAGGCUUAUUGCUGAGGGCCACCGCCAGGGUAAGAGCACAAAGUCAGAGGACUCUGUUUAUAGCCCACAAUUAACAAAUUCUGAAAUUUCCAUAUGUAGCAGGAUCCCAGGGCUCUGUUAGUAAUACAGGAUAUGGCUGGUCAGCUCAGUCACCCAUGGAAUUACAGUGUAGGGUAUGGAUGCCAGUAUUUUAGACCCAAACCGAGCAUAAAAAACACAAAGUAAAAUUCAGUGUCAGCACAAAGUUGACAGCGAAUGAUUAUAACAGCUUCGAAGCUUGAAAAAGAGUGUAAAUAACUAGGAUCCCCUGCGGGCUCACUCAGCCUGCAUACAUAACAACCGUGAUGGACAGCCUCUGUGGUAAAGUCAGGGAAGGAGGCACUGGGAAGAUGCAAAAAUUCCGCCAGCAAAGAGCCUUAACUGUCACCUUUCUGACUAAAUCAGCUUCUUUCAUAUAGAGAGGGAAACAGAGCAGUAGGCUAUGCCUUUGGAAGACCAAUUGCCCCCUUGCCUGGGAAGCAAGGAUGUUAAUUAUCGGCUCUUCUGUGGUUAUCAAGGCUCUGCAACCCACCAGCUUUCGCACUUCAGGAACGCUCUUCUCCCUGAUCUUUAAUCCUUGGUGCUUUUAGUCCACAAAAGAUUGUUAUUCAGAACAACUCUGCCAUUUGGAGAAUGUAAAAAUAAAGGCAAGAAAGAAUAGUCCACUCUCCCCAACUGAACGGUUAACUUACUGGAUUGCUUUGAGUUGGAAUUUAAUUUUCUUUCCUAGGUGUAUGCUUAUGCGCACAUACCCACCUGCAGCCUACAGCCAGAGGGUUUCAAGUACUGAAACACGGCAAGUACCUCAUGGCCUGCAGCCCCCAGCCUAGUAUAGGAGAUGCCAGCUUUGUGAGUCUGGAGCCUCACCAUCGCUUGCUCUUAAAGGAGAAAAGCAAGCAGCUGAGGUCUUCUGCACACAUCUAGCCAGCACUCCACAGGUUGGCAAUUCAUUUGCAGGAUAAUUAAUCAAUUAGCAAAUGAUCCCUUUCCCCUUUGUUAUUUAUGCUGCAUGAGAACUGCAUUGCCAAAUGAAAUGGCAGGCCACUUGUACUGAAACUUUGCCCUUCAAACACAUUGGUCUUAUUUAUCUGAAUUGAGCAGAUGCUUUGCACCGCCAGCCCAUUGUAACUGGACUGUUUGCUAUUAGAACCUGAGUAAGAUUUAAGCUAAGCAGAAGGGCAUAAAUAUGACAUCCUAUAGACAUUCAUGAUGAUCAACUGUGCUGUAUCAUCACCAGCCACUGCUACUUAUUCAUAUAGGAAAAAGAGGGAGGAAAUACACUUGACAUUGCUAUAAGGGGAACAACAGCCACCAGAAGGAAAAGUGAAGAUGGAACUUACACAGUUAUUGGCCCUAGAGUACAACUUUUGGGUCUUAAAAUGCAAUUAAAUUCAGACAAUGUAUAUAUUCUAUUUACAGGCUCAAUAAUUCUCAAUGCUUUCAGAGCUCCAUAUUACACCAGGCAUCUCUCUGGAAAGCAAAGAUAUCAAGCAGGUUUUGCUUAGGGACCAGGAGGUUUGUUUAUCGUCUCCCAGAUAAGCAUCACUGAGAAGGAGGUCUGACCAACAACAGUAUGAUGGAAUCGCAUCAGACCCCACUCUGAUCUGGGACAGGUCAAGAGAAGAAAUGCCUGUGAAGCCCCUUUAUCUCUCACAGGCUUCAUAUGCACCUCCACUCUAAAAUGCACAAGUUGAACUAUGGGAUUUUUUUUUCUUCUUUGCACAGCAAUUGUACUAAGAAUCUCUGCAUCUUUCCAUAUUUACACCGCUGCCAGGUGGGAUAAUAGAAAACAUCUUCCCCUCUAGCCAGGGCAGGGGGCUAAAAUGUUUUAAAAGCAAAGAGGAAGUUCCCCAGAAUCAUACAAACAUUUCAGCAGCCAAAUGAGCAGAAAGUCUGUUUCUGUUGCUGUGUUUUAAAGUCAACAAUUAUGUAUUAAAUUACUCCUGUGUACACAGAACAACAAAGGCAUUUUGGGUCCAUUUGUACAGGUGAGAAAAUGGGUCAGCUAUGUAACACUGAACCCCAGGUGUGCAUAUGGCAGAAAAAUUCUGUCAUCUAUUGCUUCCACGGAGGACUUCAGGGACAGUCUCAGAGCCCCACGUAAUCACUUGCCAAGGCUUUAAUAAUAAAAGAGCUACAAAGAAAACGUCCCUAACCCUUCACUAUGUGGAGAAGAGACUUAAGAGUAAAAAGCAUCUGAAUGUUUUAAAAGGAACUGUGAAACUUAGUCAAUGAGAAAAUUAGAGAAAGGUCAUUAUAAUAUGAAUGAAUGCCCUUAAGAACAAACUAGCCCCAAAUCUUAUUCUUUUUAUCUUUCUCAAAAAAAGAAUGGUCAAAUGUGUACAGAAGCAAACUCUACCUGUUAGCCAUGCUGAGCAAAGCUGGAUUUGUUCACUCACAGGAAUAAAAAGCACAACAGUGAAUCUUGGAGGCAUUAUUUCUUAGCAGAAUUAGCAUAACCCAGCACAUCAGAGUAUUAAAAUUUAAAAAGGAUUUCAAACUGUCCCCGUAUCAUCAGUAGAGUCAUGUCACAGAUUUUUUUUAUUGGUUCAGCAGGCUAGGUGUAAUUGUAUCAAUAUUUUAAUGCUUGAUGCAUAUUGCCUGUGAUACAUUGCUUGCAUAAAUAAAAAGCACCAAUAUUCAAUUGCCAAUGAAAUAAUCACACACUCUAGAUCUUUAUUAU